rnacentral:rRNA from 1 species
CCUACGGGAGGCUGCAGUGAGGAAUAUUGGUCAAUGGACGAGAGUCUGAACCAGCCAAGUAGCGUGAAGGAUGACUGCCCUAUGGGUUGUAAACUUCUUUUAUAUGGGAAUAAAACGUUCCACGUGUGGGAUUUUGUAUGUCCCAUAUGAAUAAGGAUCGGCUAACUCCGUGCCAGCAGCCGCGGUACUACGGAGGAUCCGAGCGUUAUCCGGAUUUAUUGGGUUUAAAGGGAGCGUAGGUGGAUUGUUAAGUCAGUUGUGAAAGUUUGCGGCUCAACCGUAAAAUUGCAGUUGAAACUGGCAGUCUUGAGUACAGUAGAGGUGGGCGGAAUUCGUGGUGUAGCGGUGAAAUGCUUAGAUAUCACGAAGAACUCCGAGUGCGAAGGCAGUUCACUGGACUGCAACUGACACUGAGGCUCGAAAGUGUGGGUAUCAAACAGGAUUAGAUACCCUUGUAGUC